rnacentral:rRNA from 1 species
AUCGAACGCUGGCGGCAGGCUUAACACAUGCAAGUCGAACGCGUGUAGCAAUACACGAGUGGCGCACGGGUGAGUAACGCGUGGAUAUCUGCCUUUUGGUUCGGAAUAACCCCGGGAAACUGGGGCUAAUACCGGAUGGUUCCUUCGGGAUAAAGAUUUAUCGCCAAAAGAUGAGUCCGCGUACGAUUAGCUAGUUGGUGAGGUAAUGGCUCACCAAGGCGACGAUCGUUAGCUGGUCUGAGAGGACGAUCAGCCACACUGGGACUGAGACACGGCCCAGACUCCUACGGGAGGCAGCAGUGGGGAAUAUUGGACAAUGGGGGCAACCCUGAUCCAGCCAUGCCGCGUGAGUGAUGAAGGCCUUCGGGUUGUAAAGCUCUUUUGGCGGGGACGAUGAUGACGGUACCCGCAGAAUAAGCCCCGGCUAACUUCGUGCCAGCCGCCGUAAAAC